rnacentral:lncRNA from 1 species
AUUGAUGAAUGGUUAUACUACUGGGGUCCUUAUGAACUAAUUGUUCUACACUUCUCACUUGGUGUAGCUUGUUAAAUGGGUAUUGAGUGGGAGCUUAGUUUUCGUCUAAAACUCUAGAGUAUAUCUUCCACAGGUCAAAGCAAGAAAGAUUCUUCAAAUCUUCAGAUUCGUUCUUUUCUUAUGACAUGACAAUAAAAUCUAGAUUUUUGAAUUUGUUAGACAAAACAACAAUUUGUGUUUGGGUUCUGAUUGGAAUUCUAAUUGCACGUAAGGAUGAUGAUAUUAGGCUAUAUAGCCUUAGCCUAUUCGACCAUGUCUUAAUUGUUACGUGAUGUUAGCUCUAGGAAGGGGGUCUUUCUUCUAGAGUAACUGUUAAUACGAAUAAGAGAAUAACGAUUUUUGGUGUUGGUUAUCCAGUUACACAAGUGAUCCCCAUUGGGCCAUGCAGGUUCUCUAUAAUAAUUAUGACCCAUCCUUUAUCCAAUUUAGCUCCAGCUUAUCACCGACAAUCUGUUCAGGGUUCCAAACUCAACGAUGGCAACCAAACAUUAAUUCGGUAGAAGGGAUGCGUCCUCACAAAGGGGAUCGCAGUGAGUAGGCCUAGGUGACUAUUUGCCAAAAACACAGGCCUCCACAAAUGUAAAGUUUGACACAAUUGGGAUUUUUUUGGGAAAUAUGUGUAGUUAUUAAUUCAUAAUCUGGCAUGUAUAGAGUAAAAACUUCAUUCUUGAUACUACGAGAAGUUUUAUGAAAGCCCUUUGAAUUAGCACGAACCUUGUGAAACACUAUUGAAUUUAAAGGAAAAAGUUCUUAUGCCUGUAGAAAAGGAUCAAUGGGUAAAUGAAUUCUAGCUAGUUUUAAAUAGACGAAGAUUGUUGGCCUAUCUUAGUUGAAAAAGGCAAAUAAUAUUUUAGGACCUUAUCUUUCUCAUGCACUCUAUAAACUUGUAUGGGCGUAAAUGAUUUUCCCUUCUCACAUGUGAUACAUAAUACACAUCCAAAUUAAGCAAGGAAUCCCCAUUUGAAUGAUUCACAAUCAUGUUCCUUCUAUUUCUCCAAGUAAAGCUUUUCGCAUCGCAAUGCCUAUUGUUUCGACUACAUAAUAUCCAUAUUGUUCCGCUUCUUCAUGAAUGUGCUCAAUAUGGUAGCAUUGCCCACAAAUUUAUAGAAGUAUG